rnacentral:rRNA from 1 species
UACGAAGGGGGCUAGCGUUGCUCGGAUUGACUGGGCGUAAAGGGCGCGUAGGCGGUUCGUACAGUCAGACGUGAAAUUCCUGGGCUCAACCUGGGGGCUGCGUUUGAUACGUGUGAUCUAGAGUGAGGAAGAGGGUCGUGGAAUUCCCAGUGUAGAGGUGAAAUUCGUAGAUAUUGGGAAGAACACCGGUGGCGAAGGCGGCGACCUGGUCCUUGACUGACGCUGAGGCGCGAAAGCGUGGGGAGCAAACAGG